AAACAAUCACCUUUCAAGCUCUCAAUUCUGGCAACACAUCAGGAAUUGAAGGUGAUCAUUUAAACCAUUCUACUAAAACUAAUAAUAUGGUGUGACCUACUUUGCAGAAAAUGAGUCUGAAGGAAGCACACGAGUCGUUCUCAAGCACCAGUAGAGGACCUGUUCAUGAAGAUCGAAGACUACAAAUCGAGAAACUCGAUGAAUGGCGGACACACAAACCAAGAACACCUGACAAACUGAAACUACAUCAAAACAAGCCCG
rnacentral:lncRNA from 1 species